ACUAGAGACUCCGACCAGGGUGGUCAACCCAGUAAACAACAAACCCGCCAUACACCGCGCGAGCGGAGCACUUGAGGACAUCUGUGUCUCGUAUUGUACACGCUAUUUCACAACUUAACUGAUUAGUUGAA
ensembl:ncRNA K08F8.12 ncRNA